GGGAGCUCACUUAUUCCCGAGCCCUAACUCCCUUUCCUCACCCUUCUCUCCCGACGGCGUCGUUCCUCUUCUCGGACAAAAUCACAGCUGGAGGCUAGGGUUUCCUCCCUUCGGCACCGGAGAAGGGCUCUUUCCGGCUGAUCUUCACCUGUGCGUGACCACCUCGGCGGGGGGAGCUCGGAAACACAAAGAAGGGGCCGAGAGCUACAAGUCUCCGAACCCUAGAACUUCCUUCCUCCUUCGGUUGGGGGCUCAUCCGAAGCCUAGAUCUCUCUCUUCUCGGUUGUAAGUGCAAGAACAAGGAUAAAGGAAAAGCUAAAGUUUACGAAGGAAGGCGACAAGGAGAUGCGUGAGGGGCAUGUGAUGUCUGGGCUAUGGGAGAGAUCUGGGAACAUAGUUUAGUUAUUUUGAGUUUUGAUGAAAACCUUUGAGACUGUAUCAUUUAUUCUGAGUCCUUGAGAUUUUCUUUGGUUCUAAAUUGCAUGCUAUGAUGUAAUUGUUAGUAAGUUAGUACCUUGAUGCUUUCUUGAGUUAUAGUUUUGAUAUGUUUCUGUUA